rnacentral:misc_RNA from 1 species
CCAAACUCAGUUUUUUCUCAAUUCCUUCGAUUGCACUGAUCGACACAAGUCUCCUUCUCAAUUUUUCUUCUUCCUUCUUCUCUAGACUACCCACCAAGGAAGAAAACAUAACCCAGAAGUUAAAGAGUUCAAAGCACGAGAAAAUUCAACGACCCAAGUGAACUUAGCCCUUCUUUUUCAUCAAUAUACACUUUCGAUUGGAUGGAUCUGUAGAUCUAAUCCUUCUAUACUAUACCUACAUGUAUUUAUCUGUUUCCUUUAGAUCUCCAUCCUUUUCAUCUGCUGUAAUUCAGUAGCUGACCAGAGACUGCGCAGAUAAGCUUACUUUAUAUUGGGGAAGACUGGUGGGGUUUGUUGGAAGGAGUGUUAUUGCAUCCAAUUUUGGAUGUGGAGGAAUUGGAGGCUGGCCUUGGUGAGAUGAGGGAUGUUAUCAAGGUUGAUGAACUUUUUGAGGGCCUGCUGGCAGCCGUCCUCAGAACGUUAUGCCCACACGGGUUCGGAUGCAGCAGGCCGGCAAGAUGGGC